UGGGGAAUCUUGGACAAUGGGCGCAAGCCUGAUCCAGCCAUGCCGCGUGAGUGAAGAAGGCCUUAGGGUUGUAAAGCUCUUUUGGCAGGGACGAUAAUGACGGUACCUGCAGAAUAAGCUCCGGCAAACUUCGUGCCAGCAGCCGCGGUAAUACGAAGGGGGCUAGCGUUGUUCGGAUUUACUGGGCGUAAAGCGCACGUAGGCGGAUUGUUAAGUAAGGGGUGAAAUCCCGGAGCUCAACUCCGGAACUGCCUUUGAUACUGGCAAUCUUGAGGCUGGAAGAGGUUGGUAGAAUUCCCAGUGUAGAGGUGAAAUUCGUAGAUAUUUGGAAGAAUACCAGUGGCGAAGGCGGCCAACUGGUCCAUAUCUGACGCUGAGGUGCGAAAGCGUGGGGAGCAAACA
rnacentral:rRNA from 1 species